rnacentral:lncRNA from 1 species
UUAAAUCACAUUAUUGUGUGCGUGCGGAAGACUUUUUUUAUCAUCGGCAGUACGCGUCUCUUAAGAUGUUUUGAACGUGUUUAAAAAUAGAGAAAAAAAUAUUUAAUAAACAAUUGAUUGAAUCACAUUAUUACUAGCUCAUUGUGAGGCUAAGCACACCUCUUUCCCCUUAGUGUGGAUAAUAUUGUUUGCUAAAAAAAAAUUCAUUUGACAACUAAUUGAAUCACAUUAUUAUGCACGUGCAAAAGACAUAUUUUUAUAAACGGCACCACGCGCCUCUUAGGACGUUUUGAACAUGUUUAAAAAUAGAGAAAAUAAUAUUUAAUAAAUAACUGAUUGAAUCGUAUUAUUGCUAUCUCAUUGUGAGACUAAGCUCAUCCCCUCCCUCUUAGUGUAGAUAAUAUUGUUCGUUAAAAAAAAACACAAUCAUUUGACAACUAAUUGAAUCACAUUAUUAUACGCAUGCGAAAGACCUUUUUUAAUACCCGGCACUACAUGCCUCUUAAGAUGUUUUGAACAUAUUUAGAAAUAGAGAAAAUAAUAUUUAAUAAACAACUAAUUGAAUCAUACUAUUAUUAGUCCAUUAAGAGGUUAAGC